rnacentral:lncRNA from 1 species
GACCCCAAUCCCGACCCCAAUCCCGAUCCCGACCCCGACCCCGAUCCCGACCCCGCUCUCUCACCUUCUCUCUCUGCUCCUUCUCCUUCCGUCGCUGUUUCUCCGUUUUCCUGCCCGGCUGUUGCCGUUUCCGGGGCCGAUCCCCAUUCUCCUCCUCCUCCUUCUGCUCUUCCUCCUCCUCCUCCUCUUCCUCCAGGAGCCCCUGCAGCUGCUCCUGCAGCACGGCCUCCUGCGGGACCCCAAAUCCCGGGAUCAGACCCCAAAUCCCGGGCUCAGAUCCCAAACUCCGGGCUCAGAUCCCAAACUCCGGGAUCAGAUCCCAAACUCCAGGCCCAGAUCCCAAAUCCCGGGCUCAGAUCCCAAAUCCCAGAGCUCAGAUCCCAAAUCCCAGAGCUCAGAUCCCAAAUUCCAGAGCUCAGAUCCCAAAUCCCGGGCCCAGAUCCCAAAUCCUGGGCUGAGACCCCAAAUCCUGGGCUCAGAUCCCAAAUUCCAGAGCUCAGAUCCCAAAUCCUGGGCUCAGAUCCCAAAUUCCAGGGCUCAGAUCCCAAAUCCUGGGCUCAGAUCCCAAAUCCCAGAGCUCAGAUCCCAAAUCCCGGGCUGAGACCCCAAAUUCCGGGCCCAGAUCCCAAAUUUUGGAGCCCAGAUCCCGAAUCCUGGGCUCAGAUCCCGAAUCCCGGGCCCAGAUCCCGAAUCCCGGGCCCAGAUCCCGAAUCCCGGGCCCAGAUCCCAGAUCCCGGGCCCAGAUCCCGAAUCCCGGGCCCAGAUCCCAAAGUUUGGAUCUCAGAUCCCAAAUCCCAGGCCCAGAUCCAGAAUCCCGGGCCCAGAUCCCAGAUCCCGGGCCCAGAUCCCGAAUCCCGGGCUCAGAUCCCGAAUCCCGGGCCUAGAUCCCAAAUUUUGGAUCUCAGAUCCCAAAUUCCAGGCUCUGAUCCCGAAUCCCGGGCCCAGAUCCCAGAUCCCGGGACCAGAUCCCAGAUCCCGGGCCCAGAUCCCAGAUCCCGGAUCCCGGGCCCAGAUCCCAGAUCCCGGGCCCAGAUCCCAGAUCCCGGAUCCCGGGCCCACUCUGGAAUUCCCGCGCUCCCACCUGCGAGGGCGGCUCCUCGGUGACCUUCAGCCUCCGCUCCACCUUCUCCUCCUCCCUCCUCCUCCUCGUCUCCACCUCCAGCGCCCGCAGCAGCAAAUCCUGGGAAAACGGCCACGGGCUCACCCCAAAACCACCCAAAACACCCCGAAACAGCCUCAAAACACCCCAAAACAGCCUCAAAACACCCCAAAACCUCCUCAAAACACCCCAAAACACACCCAAAACCCCCAAAACCUCCUCAAAACACCCCAAAACAGCCUCAAAACACCCCGAAACAGCCUCAAAACACCCCAAAACAGCCUCAAAACACCCCAAAACAGCCUCAAAACACCCCAAAACCUCCUCAAAACACCCCAAAACACACCCAAAACCC